GCACCUGAAAUAAUACUGUCAGGUAAAGAUGUCAA
rnacentral:sRNA from 1 species